GCACACAGCUUAGCACAAAGCAGGCCUCAGAUGCACGCUGGACAAAUGUGCUGGUAUCCUCUGCAUCCUUAUGGCCAGCAUGAUCCAUCCAGAAACCCAGCGGAACUGAGCCGCGAGCUGGAUUCCAGCUCACAGAACACACCAAGAACUCUGGGGGUUCCCCCCAGAAAAAUCUGGGGGGCACUGCAGAGCUUCUGACACGGCUCUGGGGGAAAUCCCACACGGAUGGGCAGCUCCCUGCAUCUGGCACUGUGGAGAUGGGCGGGCAGCCAUGGAGGAUGGGGAGACUCAUCUUUCUAGACUUCUCCUGGGGACCGCAUUUCCUCCAGCCUCCAGGUCCAGACCAAAAUAGAAUGAGGUAAAUUCAGCCCCUUUCCUGCAGCACACUCAAGGAAUAAACAAGCACCACAAAUACA
rnacentral:antisense_RNA from 1 species